CUUCCCAGAGGCAGCGCAAACAGACAGUAGAAUCAGGCUGAUAAAAAUGCUGAAUAAGCAAACGGACGCCUUUGGUCGGAAUAUGAGGGACUCGAAGGGGGAAAGGGCUAAAAAGACCUGUUUGCGAUAGAAAGACGUCUCAGAAUUAAAGUUAAAACUAGGCAGAAAGUGGGCGCCACCGACAAUGGGGUGUGGGAGUGCUACAACCAUUCCUGUCACACAGGCCUCCAGGGGCUGUCAGAGGAACGCUGUUUCGGGCCGAUCUUACCUCACUCCACCCUCCUUCAGAUGACAAGAGCACAGCGCAGGAUUCAGACUGAUUCUCCCACAGUCCUGAAGGAAGUGUGUGGUUCCGUCUACACACAGGGAAGAUGACUGGGUCAGUAAGUGACAAGAACCCAAGAAAAACUAAUCAUCAGCUGUGCAAUUUCCAGAUCCUCACGCUUCUCUUGUGGGGGCACACUCUAAACUCAAAUUACAGGCUAGUGCGGAAGAAUGAGCAUGCUGAGCAUUUUCAUCAAGAAUUCCAGCCUCUCCCCCAAAAGACACCGUGAGCAGCGACCUCUGCGCGAAUUCUGCUGGACUGCUUACAGCGAGUGCUUCUCAGACCCUGCCGGCUGCGAUGUCGCUCCUUCCUCUGACUCCUAUCUCCCACGGUUUCAGAGGUCCGCUGCUAGCUCUCCAUUUCCACCUGCUGAACUUGGCCUUUGCGGUGCAUCCCCCGCUGAGCUUCCCUAGGAU